rnacentral:rRNA from 1 species
ACAAGCGGUGGAGUAUGUGGUUAAUUCGAUGCAACGCGAAAACCUUACCUGCCCUUGACAUCCUCGGAACUUGUCAGAGAUGACUUGGUGCCUUCGGGAACCGAGAGACAGGUGCUGCAUGGCUGUCGUCAGCUCGUGUCGUGAGAUGUUGGGUUAAGUCCCGCAACGAGCGCAACCCUUGUCAUUAGUUGCCAUCAUUUGGUUGGGCACUCUAAUGAGACUGCCGGUGACAAACCGGAGGAAGGUGGGGAUGACGUCAAGUCCUCAUGGCCCUUAUGGGUAGGGCUUCACACGUCAUACAAUGGUCGGUACAGAGGGUUGCCAACCCGCGAGGGGGAGCUAAUCCCACAAAGCCGAUCGUAGUCCGGAUCGCAGUCUGCAACUCGACUGCGUGAAGUCGGAAUCGCUAGUAAUCGUGGAUCAGCAUGUCACGGUGAAUACGUUCCCGGGUCUU